AAUGAACGCUGGCGGCGUGCCUAAUACAUGCAAGUCGAGCGGCAAGACAGUAAGCUUUCUCCUCUGCGGUUGGCGGCGGGCGGGCGGGUGACGCGUGGAUCGCCUUCCUCUUUUUCUGGGGUGACUUCGGGAGACCGGUGACGCUACUACAUAAUAUAUUCAACCGCAUGGAGCAAUAGAGCAUGGCGGUUUUGCUGUUUCUAUUAGCCGAUUCCGCGCCGCAUUAGCUAGUUGGUAAGGUAACGGCUUACCAAGGCGACGAUGCGUAGCCGACCUGAGAGGAUGAUCGGCCACACUGGAACUGAGACACGGUCCAGACUCCUACGGGAGGCAGCAGUAGGGAAUAUUCCACAAUGGGCGAAAGCCUGACCCAGCAAUGCCGCGUGAGUGAAGAAGGUCUUCGGGUCGUAAAGCUCUUUUGUUAGGGAAGAACAGCUGUGGAUUAAACUACGCACGUCUUGACGGUACCUAAACAGUAAGCCACGGCUAACUACGUG
rnacentral:rRNA from 1 species